rnacentral:rRNA from 1 species
UGCCAGCAGCCGCGGUAAUACGCAGGGUGCAAGCGUUGUUCGGAUUUACUGGGCGUAAAGCGCGCGCAGGCGGAUUGACAAGUCAGAUGUGAAAUCCCGGGGCUCAACCUCGGAACUGCGCCUGAAACUGUUAAUCUAGAGUCUCAGAGGGGGUGGGAGAAUUUCACGUGUAGGGGUAAAAUCCGUAGAGAUGUGAAGGAACACCAGUGGCGAAGGCGCCCACCUGGAUGAGUACUGACGCUGAGGCGCGAAAGCUGGGGGAGCAAACCGGAUUAGAUA